UAUAGCGUGGAGUGGGCCUUACCAAAUACAGGAGACUAUACUAAUGAAUUAGCUGUGCGAGGAAAGGAGACCAGAUCAGAUGCAAGCUUAGAAGUAAUGAACCCUAUCUUUACUUACUAAAAGCCUACCGAUUGCCUGAAUUAGGAUAUGUCGGAUAAUUUGUGGAUUUACCUAUAGGAUAAUUUGUUGAUUUGUUCAUUUCAGUGUCUCUAACAAUAACUUUCACGGGCUAAGAAGUAACAACUAGAUCUAGCUGGUAUUACCAAUAUGUAGCAUUUAGUACAAAGAUAAGAAAUGCACUCAGUAGU
rnacentral:lncRNA from 1 species